CUGCUACCCACAAGCGCAUCAAUUGCGUUUUUGGUAUGGAGAAAUCCUCAGGAAAAAGACCCAAAUGGAGAAAACAUGAUUUUAAGUAGAAAGGCAAGUCUUUAUAGCUCAGGGCUAAAAUUGCAGAAACACGAUCUUGAUCAAUCAGGUGCCAACUGAUGUUUUGAAGGACAAGUUCCCAUUCCUCUCUAGUCUUCAUUUUCCUGGAUAGUAAUCCCCCAAGCACCACCAAUGCCAAGGGUAGACCACCGCAUUUCGUCACCAUCUCUCUUCCUAGAUUCUCCAAGUCGGAGGGAAAAUGAUCCAUUCCCGGGAGUGCUUUCUUGCGAAACAAUUCCAGGCUUUCAUCCUCUGUCAGCAUUCGCGGCUCAUGGGGAGUGCUCCUUGCAUCUGCAUGUAAGGCAACCUCCCUGUUUCGGGUUGUCAGCAUCACCUUACUAGUGAGGCUUGGGUCCAAGUUAGUCAUUGUCCCGUAACGGGCAAUGAGAUGAAAUUUUCUCAUAUGUGGAAAAAAAUUCAUCAAGCAUUUUGUGAAAGGGCAAUUGGUUCUACACGUACAUAAAUUGCAUUAUCCAGUAGGUGGAAAGUUCUUAAUAAAAAGUUGGCGAAAUGGAGAAAUGCCUUUGCAAAAGCGAUGGACAAGCAUCGAAGCGGAGAAAACCUUAGCAGUGAGGUAAAUUAUUUGUCAUUUUCCUUCUAUUAAUUUCUAUGUCAUAUUAAUUUUUAUUUAAAUGUUUCUUGCAAUUUAUAUAUUUUGUUAAUAUGUCUCUAGUUUUUUUUUUUAUACAUGUUGCAUUUUUUUUAAAUUUAUUGAAUUUGCAUUAGUUUUUUUUUACAUAUUGCAUUGCCAAUAUUUUUUAAAGUUUCUUGCAUUUCCAUUUAAUUUUUUUUUAUAGAUUAUGCAAGCUCAAAUGUGGUUUGGUGCUACGGGGCAAGGGAAAAAAAGUUUCAAUUGUUGGGAGGUGGUGAAGACUUGUAAGAGUUUGCAAAUAUCAUGCAUGAUUUUAUUGAACAAAUGGGAUUGCAUUCAAUAUCUCCCUCGAAAAUGAACAUCAGAGUACAGAGAUUGUGGGAUAAAAUAAUAUCUCAUAAGAUUCUUACCCCGAGAAUGUCUAUGUCUGUCCACAUUUGGGCGACGGUCUUCUCGUGAACCACGGCGACCCUGGUUUUCUUCCUCCAGCAAAGCAACUGCUAUGUCAAGUUGCUCAUCUAGUUCUCUCUGCGCCCUUUUGCUUGCAGCUCGUCUACGCAUUCUUUCUCUAGUUUCUCGCUCUUGCCUCUCCAAAACCUCUUCCAUGUCUGCCAUUGAGAAUGGAGAAUGAAAUCUAAAAUUUGAGAAAUGGAAGUGUAGAGAAGAACUGGUGUGGGAGGUAUGAGCUGAACCUCUGGUUUUAUAGAAAAAUGUACACAGAUAGAUAUGACACGCGGCGCAAUCUUAGAGGGUGAAAAUAUUAUCUGAAAUUUGAAAUUCAAAUGAAAUUUCAAAUUUCAAAUUUAUCUGAAAUUUGAAUUUCGAAAUGUAUCUGAAAUUUGACAUUUUGAAUUUAUCUGAAAUUUGAAUUUUGAAAUGUAUCUGAAAUUUGAAACCGAAAAUCUUAUCCGAUAUGAAUAGUAUUGACAUGUAGGAACCCAAAAAUCUUAUCCGAAAAUAUUAUCCAAAUUAAUUAUUUAAGUAAACAAAGUUGUGAAAAAAACAAAAAAAUGAAUAGUAUUUGCCAUGGCAAGCCCCAACUGCUGGAAACACAUUUUGCUGGAGAGGGAAUAGUGGCUGCCCUAGGGCUCAUCUUGUCAUGGCAAGGGGCAACUGGUGAAAAUGCUCUAACAGAGUAGCCUUCAUGGCAUUUAUAUAGUAAUGUACAUUUAAAAAAUAAAAAUUUUAAAAUAAAAAUUUAUAAAUAAAAUAAAAAUAAAAAUAAAAAUAAAAUAAAAAAUAAAAAAUAAAAAACAAUCUCAACAAAUUAGAAAGGAGUAAUCAAACUUGAUAACAAAAAUUGUGCCUUAUAAUUAAGGUCAAUUUACUUGAUAAGAAAAUCAAAUUUACAUUAACCUUGGAAACAUUUGAAUCAAUCUCUAAUGUACAUCAAUCUAAUCUGCUGCUCGAAGCUUUUGUCCAUUGCAACAAUCUCUAAUUUCUCUAGAGUAGUAGUAAACAACUUCAAUCUUUCUGGAAUCUUUUUCAGUUUUAGGCACCUUUCUAUCUUUAGAUGCUUGAGCUUCAUCAUUGCAUUUUCUUCCACUGUCCAUUCCUCCAACUCCAUUAAAGAAACAAGGUGUAGAACUUGCAGCUGUGGAAACCCUUCUGAAGAGCAAACCAGUUCCCUCCAUUUGUAUGAUUGGUUCCCCAAGACAAGCAUCUUCAGGUAAGGCAACCUUUCUAGUUGAACUAUCGAAUCUUUCUGGAGCUCAGAACCAAUCAAACUUAGCUUGACGAGGUUUGGAGGAAAUUCACGUACAUGAGGUAACUUCUCUAUUUUCCCCUUCAAACACAGCUUGUGGAGAUGUUGGAAAUGAGAGAGGCCCAUGGAUGUUGGGAAUGUUUCAUUGUUCAUCACCUCCAGUGACAAUGAUUGCAGGUAGCACAUUCUCCUUAGUAUUGAAAUCACCAAGUUUACCCUUUCUUGUGAUAAUCUUUCUAUUCCCAGUCGUCGUAGACUGAUCAUGUUGGCUAAGCCGCCGUCUUCUAUCCAUCUUCCAGCCCUUAUAGUUUUUAGGGUCUGUAAAUGGCUCAAGGUGUCCAAUCUAAGGUUGACACAAUUUGGUUUGGACACAUCACGUAGGAGCAUAUGCCUCAAACGUUUCAUCUUCCAAAUGACAUUGGGGAUGGGUGAAUAAGAAUAUCCCAAAUCUAGUGUCUCUAGGUUCUUCAAGUUUCCAAUCGAUGGUGGGAUGUAGUAAGUUUUAAGAAUCUGGCUCAAUCCAAGAUACCUCAACUGAAUUAGGAUCCCUAUAGUACUAGGUAGUCGCAUGAAUCCAAUUGUAUCCUUUAGAUCUAAGACCUUCAACAAUUUGAAAUCCUUUUUAAUAAAAUAGACUUCUGGAUGUAGAAAGCGGUUGAAAAAAUGAAGCGAUCGUAAAUGGGGAGCAUAUGGAUUUAGGAAAGGUGAGGUUAGGACACAAUGCUGCGUAGGGUUAGAAUGUAAGGCAAUUCUUCGAGAUUUGGUUGAUGGGGAAACUGAUGAUUCAACUUCACCACCAGUAUAAAUUCCAAGAAAAUUUUCUUCCCUCGAUACGGAGAGAGAGAAGUCUCUAAGAAGAUCAUGGAUGCAGAUGGUUUUAACCCUCCCAAGUGAGGUUAGAGUUCCCACUUGGAUCAUGCACCUAUUAAUCAACUCGUUCAAGCAAUUUUCAGCAACACCUUCUGCUUUUUCUUCCCCUUGUUGGGGUAAGAAUCCUUCUGCUACCCACAAGCGCAUCAAUUGCGUUUUUGGUAUGGAGAAAUCCUCAGGGAAAAUACCCAAAUGAAGAAAACAUGAUUUUAAGUAGAAAGGCAAGUCUUUAUAGCUCAGGGCUAAAAUUGCAGAAACACGAUCUUGAUCAAUCAGGUGCCAACUGAUGUUUUGAAGGACAAGUUCCCAUUCCUCUCUAGUCUUCAUUUUCCUGGAUAGUAAUCCCCCAAGCACCACCAAUGCCAAGGGUAGACCACCGCAUUUCGUCACCAUCUCUCUUCCUAGAUUCUCCAAGUCGGAGGGAAAAUGAUCCAUUCCCGGGAGUGCUUUCUUGCGUAACAAUUCCAGGCUUUCAUCCUCUGUCAGCAUUCGCGGCUCAUGGGGAGUGCUCCUUGCAUCUGCAUGUAAGGCAACCUCCCUGUUUCGGGUUGUCAGCAUCACCUUACUUCCUGCCAUUCCACUAGUAGGAAAUGCAGCUUCCAAACUAUCCCAAACUUCAUUUUCCCAUACAUCAUCAAGAACCACAAGAUACUUCCUCCCUCUCAAGAAUUCGUACAGCUUCUUUACCAUCUCCUCUUCAUCUACUUCCUCCAAAUCACCUAUAUAUGGAACAUUUACAUCUUUGAUGAUUCUUCGCAGAGUCUCUCUUCUUCUAUACUCUUGAGACACAUAAACGAACGCUUUACAAUUAAAUUGGCGCCUUAGUUCAAUGUGAUUGUACAAUUUUUUUGCAAGAGUAGUUUUGCCCAGACCCCCCAUACCUACAAUAGAAACCACUCCACGCCUCGGCUCCAUGCUAGAUAGUUGUGUUAGCAAGGCCUCAGUGUCUUGUACAAGAUCAAUCAAAUCAUCUUCCUCAAUAUGGGGUAAUGGCUGUCUCCACCAUCGCAGUCUCUCAUUUGUUGAAAUGCUCCCUUCACCUCCCUCUCGUGACGAAGCGAUCAUGCUGGCAAUGCCGAAACUGUCCUUUUGCUUAGAAAUGUGGUCAAUCCUUGUUUGGAUUUUUUCAAUCCCCCUCUUGACUUUGUGAAGAUGGAUUGGCAUUACAACUUUUUUCCAUAAACUUUGUGAUGCUGCUGCUGCCUCUCUGAGGUAAGUUUCUACUACAUCUUCGGCAUCGAAGGCUACUUCUCUGAUUUGAGACACCCAAUUGCGAAAUCUUUCGUUUCUGUCUUGUUCUGCUGCAUGAUCUGCAUCCUUGAGAAAGCUUUGCAUCCACCUCAAUUCGUUUCUGAUUUGCUCAACUUUCUCACCAACCCCAUCCAACAGAAUCGCUUCUUGAAUUAUCAAGUUUGUGAGCUUUUCCACUGCAGUUGCAACAGCAAGCUCUGCCAUCUUUUCUCUCUUUGAUUGGUUUUUCUUUUUUCUUUUUUCUCUCAACUCUGCUACUACAGCUCCCCUUGUUGGUCUGCUCUGCUGUUGUUAAAGCCUUCUGCAAGUCCACUUUUCUUUUCUUUUUCUCUUUUUUUUAAUGAACGUUCCAGUCAACUUCCAAUUAUUUUCCACAUUCUAAUUCAUUGGUGGGUUCCUCGUUUCCGCGUGGGCCUCCAUUACCAGCCAGGAAGGUCCCUUCCCUCCCUUAUCAGUCCUAAGUCUAAUUUAGAGUUCAAACGGGCAUCUUCAUGUUCAUUUGGGGUCGGUUUCUUUUCUUUUCUUUUUUCUUGAUAGUGGCCCAUGCAAUUCAUUUGUGGGUCCCUUGAUUUUAGCUAAAAUAAUGUAUUUUUGGUUCUAUUUCUAUAUACGGUAGGAAUAAAAUUGUUUAAUGACAGAAACUAGAAGAAAUGAGCAGGAAAGAGUUAAGAGAACAAAUAAAUCUCUUUGUUAAUAUUCUCUUGGCAAGAAAAGUAAGCAGG
rnacentral:lncRNA from 1 species